UACGUAGGGUGCGAGCGUUGUCCGGAAUUACUGGGCGUAAAGAGCUCGUAGGUGGUUUGUCGCGUUGUUCGUGAAAACUCACAGCUCAACUGUGGGCGUGCGGGCGAUACGGGCAGACUGGAGUACUGCAGGGGAGACUGGAAUUCCUGGUGUAGCGGUGGAAUGCGCAGAUAUCAGGAGGAACACCGGUGGCGAAGGCGGUCUGCUGGGCCGUUGCUGACGCUGAGGCGCGACAGCGUGGGGAGCAAACAGG
rnacentral:rRNA from 1 species